UACGUAGGGGGCAAGCGUUGUCCGGAUUUAUUGGGCGUAAAGAGCUCGUAGGCGGCCUGUCGCGUCGGCUGUGAAAACCCGGGGCUCAACCCCGGGCCUGCAGUCGAUACGGGCAGGCUAGAGUCCGGCAGGGGAGACUGGAAUUCCUGGUGUAGCGGUGAAAUGCGCAGAUAUCAGGAGGAACACCGGUGGCGAAGGCGGAUCUCUGGGCCAUUACUGACGCUGAGGAGCGAAAGCGUGGGGAGCGAACAGG
rnacentral:rRNA from 1 species